AUCCCGGAGAGGGAGGGGGGAGGGUGAGCAAACGGCUGUGUGGUGUUUGGCUGCCAGCCGGGCUAAACCACAACAGUGUCUCAGUCUGUACUUGUGACUGGCAUCACUCCAUCCCAGAGCUAAUAUCAAGACACUGCUCUGCUCAGAAUAUGCUGUGAAACAGACACCACCAGAAAUGCAACAACUGCAGGGUCAUGAAGGGAAGAAGCAGAUUCAAGAAAUGUUUACUAACAGACAGAAGCAAAACUGGUUGUCACUCAACUUUACACGGAAACAUGAGAUUUCACAUGCUCUCUUAAGAAUGCAGGUCCUGAGACUGAGGAGUACUUAAUUCACAUGCUUUGUUAAUGGCACUCAAAAGUAGCAUACUUUUCUUAUCAUAAAAACAUAAGAACAUCAACAACCAUAAUGCUGUUCUGUUGGAAAAUAGCAUCUGUCACCGUUGAAGUUUUCUGCACCUUCGUGCAUUCAUUGAAGCAUGGCCAUGGCCAGUAAGUGAUAUUAAAUUAAUUACUGCCAUGAUUUACACAUGGACUAC